GAUGAAGAACGCAGCGAAAUGCGAUAAGUAAUGCGAAUUGCAGAAUUCCAGUGAGUCAUCGAAUCUUUGAACGCACAUUGCGCCCUUUGGUAUUCCGAAGGGCAUGCCUGUUCGAGCGUCAUUAUCACCCCUCAAGCCCUCGGCUUGGUGUUGGAUGGUUUGGUGGAGGCCCCCUCGGGGGCUCCUGCCCCUCCCAAAGACAAUGACGGCGGCCUCGUUGGACCCCCGGUACACUGAGUUCUUCACGGGACACGUAUCGGACACAUGGGUUUACGGGACACGGUCUGCCUCCCCUCAGGGAGAAUCUUUCUAAGGUUGACCUCGGAUCAGGUAGGGAUACCCGCUGAACUUAAGCAUAUCAAUAAGCCGGAGGA
rnacentral:misc_RNA from 1 species